rnacentral:rRNA from 1 species
GACGAACGCUGGCGGCGUGCCUAAUACAUGCAAGUAGAACGCACAGUUUAUACCGUAGCUUGCUACACCAUAAACUGUGAGUUGCGAACGGGUGAGUAACGCGUAGGUAACCUGCCUGGUAGCGGGGGAUAACUAUUGGAAACGAUAGCUAAUACCGCAUAAUAUUGAUUAUUGCAUGAUAAUUGAUUGAAAGAUGCUAUUGCAUCACUACCAGAUGGACCUGCGUUGUAUUAGCUAGUAGGUGAGGUAACGGCUCACCUAGGCGACGAUACAUAGCCGACCUGAGAGGGUGAUCGGCCACACUGGGACUGAGACACGGCCCAGACUCCUACGGGAGGCAGCAGUAGGGAAUCUUCGGCAAUGGACGAAAGUCUGACCGAGCAACGCCGCGUGAGUGAAGAAGGUUUUCGGAUCGUAAAGCUCUGUUGUAAGAGAAGAACGGGUGUGAGAGUGGAAAGUUCACACUGUGACGGAAUCUUACCAGAAAGGGACGGCUAACUACGUG